UACGUAGGGGGCAAGCGUUGUCCGGAUUUAUUGGGCGUAAAGAGCGUGUAGGCGGCCUGAAAGGUCAGCUGUGAAAACUCGAGGCUCAACCUCGAGACGUCGGUUGAAACCAUCUGGCUAGAGUCCGGAAGAGGAGUGUGGAAUUCCCGGUGUAGCGGUGAAAUGCGCAGAUAUCGGGAAGAACACCCGUGGCGAAGGCGGCCUUCUGGACCAGUACUGACGCUCAUGCACGAAAGCGUGGGGAGCAAACAGG
rnacentral:rRNA from 1 species